rfam:Ixodes scapularis strain Wikel colony gcontig_1107729040162, whole genome shotgun sequence.
UCCUGGUUAGUUCAGUUGGUAAAGCGCUCCACUGGAAAUGGAGAGGACCCUGGUUCCAUACCAGGACCAGGCG